GUCAGGUCACACUGAGCCUUGUAAGCUGUGGGCGUGGGGGGUGGCAGCCCGGUGACCUGCCCUGGAGGACUUCACAGCUCCUGAUCUUCAGUGCAAAGCCACAGCACCUCCAAGAGUCACGUGGUGCCCGGAGGGGACAUGCAGCAGCACUGGAUGGAUGGGUCCCUUCUCCGCUCUCCUUCAACUCCUGCAUCCUGUGAAGUCUCAGGCGGAUGCAAACACGCCUGCUUCCCGAACUCCCGGAGACCUCUGCACCCGGCCUGGCCUCUCUGGCGGGCCACAGGAGAGCCGGGCUGUCCCUGACCACUGCUGUUCAUUUGUGCGCACGGCUGCUGUCUCCUCAGAGUAAGGGACGCCAGGAUGUGCCCCGCGUGUUAAUCGAACGAGAACCGUGAAGGCCGGCGCCCAGAGAUGCCCGUGCAGCCCAGACGUCACGGAAGGAUGCAAAGACCCAGGUCUUGGUUUUUUCCUGGCUCAGGUUCCCCACUCACUAUAAUUGUUCCAGGCUCAGAGAGGGUGAGGAACAUGCCCAAGGUCACAGAGCCAGGAGACGGGCGAAGAGGUCAGGUUACAACCUGUUCUGACUUCGGUCUGUUCUGACUUCACGUACUGGGCCCUCCAAGCCGAAUGCGGUCCCCUUCUUUUCAUCCAGAAGCUCACCUGGAACCAAAAUGUCUCCUUCUCUGUCCAAAUGGCUUCUUAAACCACUGUCGACAGUGGCGUCAGUUUCUCAACCUCGGCUCCAUUGAUAUUUGGGGCCAGAUAAUUCCUGGUCAUGGCAGGACGUUUGGCAGCCAGCAUCCCUGGUCUCCACCACGGGAACCUGCCCAGUUAUGA